GGAUGUGAGGGUGAUCUGGCUGUGACACCUGUCACCCUAUUGAUUGCCAGGGUUAGCCAAGUUUCCCCUUCCUUCCUCUCUGCUCCAUGUACAUCCCUCCCAAAGUUGUGCACUCAGUGGAAGAGGACAACCAUCCCAGAUAAAAGGAUGACUAUUCAGUCAAGGAUACACAGUAGCUGUGCUCCCCUGCUAGAACCUCCAGACAAGCUCAAGGUCCAUUUGUAGGCGCCUACAUUAAAACAUCAGAUAAAAUAGUCCAGAAUAAAACAUU